AGACCUGGGAUGGGGAGGCAGUGGGAGGAAACAGGUGCUGUGUGAGCAUUACUGGCUGACCGACUCUACCCCGGACACCCAUGGUCACAUCACCAUCCACCUCCUAGCUGAGGAGCCUGAGGAUGAGUGGACCAAGCGGGAAUUCCAGCUGCAGCACGUUGUCCAGCAACAUCAACGGAGGGUGGAGCAACUGCAGUUCACCACCUGAUCCGACCACAGCAUCCUUGAGGCUCCCAGCUCCCUGCUCGCCUUUAUGGAGCUGGUACAGUAGCAGGCAAGGGCCACCCAGGGCGUGGGACCCAUCCUGGUGCACUGCAGGUGACAGCAGCUCCUCAGGGGCUGUCCCUGCGGUGUGGGCAUGGGCCGGACAGGCACCUUCGUGGCCCUGUCGAGGCUGCUGCAGCAGCUGGAGGAGGAGCAGAUGGUAGACGUGUUCCAUGCUGUGUAUGCACUCCGGAUGCACCAGCCCCUCAUGAUCCAGACCCUGAGCCAGUACGUCUUCCUGCACAGCUGCCUACUGAACAAGAUUCUGGAAGGACCCUUCAACAUCUCUGAGUCUUGGCCCAUCUCUGUGACGGACCUCCCGCAGGCGUGUGCCAAGAGGGCAGCCAGUGCCAAUGCUGGCUUCUUGAAGGAGUACGAGCUCUUGCUGUAGGCCAUCAAGGACGAGGCUGGCUUUUCCGCACCCCCGCCUGGCUAUGAGCAGGACAGCCCCGUCUCCUGUGACCGUUCUCAGGGGCAGUUUUCUCCGGUGGAGGAGAGCCCCCCUGACGACAUGCCCGAAGCCUGGCUCUUCCCUCCAUAGGAAUUCUGGCCAACGGAGAUGCAGCCCGUAGUCACAGACAUGGUGACGGUGCACUGGGUGGCUGAGAGCAGCACAGCAGGCUGGUUCUGUACCCUCCUCAGGGUCACACAUGGGGAGAGCAGGAAGGAAAGGGAGGUGCAGAGACUGCAAUUUCCAUACCUGGAGCCUGGGCAUGAGCUGCCCGCCACCACCCUGCUGCCCUUCCUGGCUGCUGUGGGCCAGUGCUGCUCUCGGGGCAACAACAAGAAGCCGGGCACACUGCUCAGCCACUCCAAGUGUUGUUGGACAAUGGUCUUGGGGGAGUGGACAAUGGUCUUGGGGGAGCGGACACUGGAAGCCCCUCCCUGCCCUUCUGGCAUAGCCUCAGAUCUCCCUGGGCUCUGCUUGGGUUAUGGGUCAAAAGGACACAGUCUCACAAUGCCCCUGUCUUCUCCACACCCUACCCUGUCCUCAGGAAUAUGGUGGGAAUUUACCGCCUCCCUCCCUAGGUCCAGGCUGGCCGGCUGACCAAGUGUCCGGUGUCCCUUCUCAGUCCCUGCGCCCAGGUUGGGUUUUCCCACAUCCGUGGACACCCCCGCCACACCCCCUUUAGGUACCUCAUCCACCUCUAGGUCAGUUGCAGCAAGGGUGCAACCCAGCUGGGCACCUUCCUGGCCAUGGAGCAGCUGCUGCAGCAGGCAGGGUCUGAGUGCACCGUGGAUAUCUUUAACGUGGCCCUGCAGCAGUCUCAGGCCUGUGGCCUUAUGACCCCAACACUGAAGCAGUAUGUCUACCUCUACAACUGUCUGAACAGCGCGCUGGCAGACGGGCUGCCCUGAGUCAGCACUGGUCACGGUGCAGGAGAGGUUUGUGCCCUGUGGGAUGGGGACAGCAUUCCUGACACAUCCACGUGGGCCUGGGCUCCCUGGAAGGGCGGCCUCCACUGGGCCCUGUGCUGGGAAGGUACAGGGUCUUGGAAUAAAGACCUGUGGCCAAGCCUGAAGCUCAGUGUGUUCUGUCUGUCCAUCCUCAGGCCUGGGCCCAGCGUGUGGGUCUCGUGGGCAAACAUGGAGCCGGGAUGGAAGCUAGGACCUGGAGUCUGGUUGAACUUGGUGACCUAUGGCCCCUAUGCUGUUGGUUUUUCCCCUGAAGCAAUCCUCUCCCUGCUAAUCCUCCAGUUUCUAAAUUUCCUCAGACUUUGGUCUCUCCACGUCUAGUUUCCUGUGGUGCUAAGCCCUGGAUUCAGAAUCACAGCUCCAAAUUGUUUGUCCUCUGCCUCAUCACCCUGUACGCACCAUGCUGUAUGCAGUAGGGUUUAUCCUGUUUCCCACUUCCCUUCUCCUGCCAUCCCCAGCCUUCUCUACCUGCCAGAGCCCCCAGGGGCCACCCUCAGCCCCCACCAGGAUGGAGGUGCCAGAGCUACCCUGUUACUCGGAAGGCAGGUGCUGGAGGCACCCCUCAGGCGGAGGUGCCAAGUUUUCCCUGCUCCUUCUCUGUCUCCUUCUUCCUCCCCUCUACAUAAGAGGUGGGGGAGAAAGCAGGGAAGGCAUAUGGAGAAAGGAAAAACCAGGAGGAGCAGCAGAGACCAGAAAAGAGGGUGGGGAGGCAGCUGUCUGUCCCACACACUGUAGGACUGCACUGCAUACCAUGUGCAUGAUUGCUGGUGGCCACAUGAGCUCCUGCCUGCUUCCCUGGUCAGGCUGGGAGUUUCCAGGUGCAGUGCCUGAUGCUGGACACUAACUGCCCCUGGUGGAAGGCCCUGGGAGGACACAGAGAAAGCCUGGAAAGAUCAGAGCAAGAGUCCCUGAAAUGGAGUCGGGUCUCCCCAAGGGGAAGCGGGGAGAGCUCUUUGGCCAACCUGAGUUCCUACUAAGGUGCAACGGGUCAGAAGUCAGGAGGGUCCUUCUCAGGCCUGGUUGAAGAAGGGUACAGAGGUCGUGCUGGCUGCUCAGCCGGGAGCUUUCCCAGAACGAGACUAAAGCACUGGUGCCCUCCCAGGAGGACUAAAUGCCGGUGUCCUCCAUAUGCCAUGUUUAUCAGGAGCUGAGGGUGGGCCCCCUAAUGACCCUCACAAAAGCAGGCUGGAGGCUCUGCUCUGAGCUGCCCAAGUCUGUCUCAAGCAGCUGCUGCUGAGGUUGCAACAGGGCUCAACCAUGGCUUUUCCACUCUGGGAAAAUCUCACAUUGGAGCAGCAGGAGCUGCAAAUGAGAUGGAGCCAAGGCUAUGGUUGAGUGAAGGAAGUGCAGGCUGGCCUGUGGUAGCUUUCUGCCAUAGGGCAAAGGUGGCUCUAUCUGUGAGUCUUUCUGGUCAUGUAGGCCCAUCCUCUAGCCUUCUUAGGAGGCUCAUCUUCUACUUUCAGCGCCAUGGCACCAACGGGAGGCCUAGGGUCAGGGUCUGCUCAUUUCUUGGUCCGGCUAUGCAGCCCCUCUAGCCCUGGGAGGUUAUCGGAGAGUGGAGAGGUGUUGAUGAGAGGAUUCUGGCAUGUGGAAGGACAGGGUGGAAGAAAUCCUGGAUGCCUCUGAGGUCCCAGGUUUCUGGUAUACCCUCUGGCUGGACCAUGGGGAGACAGGGCAAAAAAGGAAGGAGGGGUGCCCACAGCCUGCUCUAGCUCUGCACUGGGGCUUGGCUCAGCAUGGGAGAGACCAGAGACAGCAAGAGGCUGCGUGAAGGAAGCACAGCCAGCUCACUAUGGUCUAAGGAGAGAACAGGGAUUGGCCUCAGUUUUAACCACCGUGCCCUUUGCUCACCAGGGCUCUGGGGCCGGCCAGGUCAGCCAGUUGGUGGGAUUCCAGCCUCAGGGUGGCCGAGCUGCAGGUGCAGCACCCGGCCUCCAGGUGGCGCCAAUCUGCUUACUUUGAGGUGGCCUCUUGACAAGCAGCUGAGCUGCACGCAGUCCCUCAGCCUGCCGAGGUCCUGGGAGCAGGGAUCAAGGUGGUCCCCGUAAACCUGACAGUAAACCUGACAGAGGCUGCAGGAGUGCAUUUCCACCCAGGGUGCACUCAGCGAGUGGAACUCCACACCCGUUUCUUUGGAGUCAAGGCGCGACCUCUCAGGGAGGAGACUGCUCCUGGUUGCCCACUGCCGGGUCAUCCCAGCUUGCAGUGGAACCCUCCGCAGCCUGGCCUCUUCCAGGGUAGCCCCUCACUCCCCUCUCUCUUGUCCUAGGAUAAGGCCGAGGAGGGCUGACGAGUUCCAGCUCUGGGGAUGCCCUAUCAGCUGUGUCACCUUGAACAAAUCAUUUCUCCUCUUGGGUCUCUGUUUCCUCCAGUGUGAAACGUGGUGAAGGCAUGAGGGGCUAUGAGAGCCCCAAGGCCUCUUUCAGAGAUCUCCUCUGGGUCCCAUGUGACCCCGUGGCUAUCCCCAAAGGCAAGAGGGUCCCCAGCCCUGCAGCCAAGGCCCUGGGACACCCUUUCUAAACAAGUGCAGGUCUCUGACGGGCUGAGCUUUGCUCGCUUGGGUUUCUUUGCUUUUUUCCUUUUUUUAUCUUUCCUGAAUGAAAUUCCUGCCAGCUCCGAAGGAAGGAGGGAAGGGAGCUAGCCGCAGCGUAGAAAGUUUCCUUGACUCCUCCUCCGGCUGGGUCUCCCUCCCUUGCCAAGCCCAGCCUGUGAAACUGAAUAACGAAGAUCACUCAACAAUGCCUGCUCCUCUCUGACUGCACCGCCCCGCCGCCGACGCCCAGUAGAGCCCCCGGGGCGGUCCCCACCGACGGCGCAGCCCGCCGGGACCGGGAGAAAGCAGCUGCGGACACCGCGCCCGUGCGUCUGCGCGCCUGGCCGCCAGGUGACCCAGCAGCCCGGCCGCCGAGAUGCCCAACCCGCCCAGGCUCCGGGCGCUGUGACUUCGCGCCGCUGUGUGCGCCUCCCCGAGCGCCGGCUGCGCCCCCCAGCCCGGCCCGGGGCCUACCGCCUGCCCGGCCCCCUGCCACUGCCAGGAGGACGGCAUCAUGCUGUCUGCCGACUGCUCUUGAGCUUGGGCUGUCCGCCAUACCGGGGGACCUGGAUCCCCUGACGGCUUACCUCAGAGCAGUGCCCAGGAUGGUGGCUGAGGGUAAAGCUGACAGAACUGGAGGUGGAGGUGAGGGGAGCGUGCCCCAGUGGGGUGGAAAUAAUGUCUGUUCUUCUGCCAUGGUGAGGACAACAGGGCUGUCACACUGAGGCUGGGUGGCCUUCUUUGGGGGGGGGGUCCCAGAAGCUGGGAGGGGGGCCUUAUCCACUCUUGUCUCCUCAGAAAGGGACUCUGCCAGCACCAUCUCCCUUUACUGGGGCCUCCCGGCUCCCCCAGGGGCCUCCCUAAAGUCAUGUCCCAAGAGGCUGUGUUGGAGACACUAAUUUGUGGGCAGGCGCGGAGGCUGAAAAGCGGAGAACCAUUUUUAGCGUCUGAGUUGGGGUUGGGAUGUCCUCCUCCACUCCAAAAGGCACAGGCUGUGGGCCAGGUAAGGGAGUGAGAAGAGAAAAAUAAUGCCCAUCUUCUAGAAGGACAAAUGGAAUCCUUCACAGUGCAGCAGGUGACGGCGGAGGCAGUCAUGGGAAUAAAGCUACCAACUGCACAGAGGCUGGGUGCUCAGCAUCUGGCAAAGCAGGGCAGGCUCCGGCCCCAGCCCACACCCAGGCCAGCCCUGCUUUCAGCAGUUUUCUAUCCUGGGAGUAUGUGACAUUGGUUCAUUGGAAGACAGGGUCCUGUGGCUAAAGAGUUUAGAUAUGACUUCUGUGGAGCCUUUCUCUGGGUGAGCUGAAGGAAGGUCCCUUGCCUGGGUUGAAGGGGCAGGGGAGAUAAGGCCUUCCAGAGCUUCCUUUCCCAGUGUUAAGUCUUCCUAGACUGAUUAAUGAUCCUUUUUCUAGAAGGACCUGGGGUAGGAGGUACACUGUCACCUUUGGAAUUCAAGCAUCCUACCAUCCAUGCUGGCAGAAGAUUUUCCCACUAACUUGUCACAAUUCCCUGGGAGCUGUGAAGUCUGCAUUUGGGUUCAGUGGAGGUGGGGUUUUCUGAGCUGGUCUGUGUCUUCCUGGGGAUUGAGAAAGCCCCCCUCUCUCUCAAGACUCAGGGGAUGCUUCUGAGAAUGGCGGAGAGAAGAGAGGGAGUGGGAGCUAGAAAGAGUACGAUGGGUCCUGAGGCAAUGUGGGGAAUUUAGCAGUGGGGUCUGGAAUAUUGGAAGGAGGUAGCAGAGGACCGUGUUCCCUGCCCUGGGCUGGGGAGGGGUCCCAUCAGGAUGGUGCAUGAGGGAUAUCUACAGUUGUCCUGAGGGUGUCUCAGAGGAGGAAUUUUCUUUCUUUGCCCUCUCUGGAGAACAGCUCUACCACAAAGGCACCUGAAGGUGGGGUUGAGGGCUGGCAUGGAGAAGAGCCAGGGUGGGGAAGUCUUGGGGCUCCUUUCUCUUUUCAGCGAUGUUAGGAGGUGCCCACCUUGGCCCUGCCCCAUGUAUCCCAGCCCUUGCUGAGGACAGCACAGAUUCGCAUCUGAUGAUAUAACCAGCAGUGCCUCUCUCUGGGCCACUCAAACCUUGGUUCCUUCCUAGCUCUGCCACCUACUGAGAGUCACUCACUGAACACCUCUAAGCCUCAGGUUCUUGAUGUGUACAUGGAGAGGAGGAAGCAUGUUGCUGAGAGGAUUAAAUGAGAUAAUAUGUUCAGUGAAAGUCCCCACAGUGCCUGACACCCGAGGGUGACUCUGAAAUGGUGGCUAGUAUUAUCAUGCCUCCUGUGGGUGCUCCGUGGAGGUGGAGGUAAACUACCAGGCCUCUCCACACCAGAGGGAAAUUGAGCCUAGUGGGAAGUAGCAGGCCAGAGAGGACUCGAAGAUCCUUAGAAGGAGCCAUAGACGGAACCAUAGGAGGCGCCCAGGAGCUAUGGGCUCCAGAAGUUUCCUCCUAAACUGUGGUCUCAGCGAGGCUCAUUGACACUCACCGGGGUUUCGACAUUCUCCCUGGCUAGGGCCUGUUCUGGAAAUAGACCAAGGGGGAGAUGGAGCCCCUGGCCGUGGGACAUCCAAUCUGAUGGUGAUGAGAAGGCAUGAUGCCUCUUGUUCUAUUCUUUUUUGUUUCUUCUUUUUUUUUAAAUAAAAAAGACCAGUAAUGUGCUGACUUCAUAACAAGGUUUGAGGGAGGCACUUCUCACACGUGAGCAUGAAAACCCAAUCGUCACGCUUCUUAACUGCAAAAGGAUCACCUCUUGUUCUAUUGUAUUGCAUGUACACAUGAUGCACAGACAGGAAUACACAGACAGCAAAUAACUUGUUGGGCAGAUAAUCCCCGGAGUUGUUCCUGAGUAGAAAGAUCUGGGUAGUUACUCUGGGCCCCCAAGGCUGAGCAGUGUCAGUAAACAGAUGGUGCCAGAAAAGGUAUCUCACGCAGCUAGUUGUGAAAGACGUCAGGCUCAUGCACUUGCAGUCACACCUAAGCACCCAUUUUCAUAGCCCACUGCCACCAGGGCUGAGGGAGGGGCCGCUACACCAUGCAACCCCCACUUCAGACUGCUGUUUGCUUUCUUGGGAAUUAUAACUUUAAGAUUGCCUGUGAUAACUGAUAACCACUGGACUUGUUUGAAAGGUUAGAUGGUGUGUGCAUGUGUGUCUGUAUGUGCGUGUGUGUCUGUGUGUGUCUGCGUGUUUCUCUGUGUGUGUGUAGAUACAGGGUAAUUUGCAGGGGAUGUCUACAGCCAAAAUGAUGGAGGCAGGAUGCUGGAGGCAGAGAGUAAGGGGUUGUGGCAUUUGCCACAACAAAGCAGAGUUCAAACUAUCACUUACUAGCUAUGUAACCCCCAGCCAGUUGAUUAGCCCUUCUGUGACUUAGUUUCCUCACCUGUAAACAGGGUUAAGAUCUACCUCAUAGGGUUGUUGUGUGGAUUCACUUAGAUGAUGUUUGCAAAGGGUUUGGCAUAAUGUCUGGUACAUGGGAAGAGCUCAAUAAAUGUUAGCCAGUGCUGUUAUUAGGAUAACCAGGGCGAAGAAAUGUCAGUCAUGGAAGUCUUCCUGGAGGAGGAAGUCCUGGAGCUAGCAUGGGAGGGAGGGAAGCAGGCCUAUUCUAUGAAAGGUGUAGGAUAGGUGUGUGUGUAGUUGCGGGCUGUGAGAGGUGCAAGAAGCUGCGAAGAAGAUGGAAUGAGCUCUGCUGGGAACCCAGAGUAAUUUUAGGGUUUUUUUUUUUUGUUUUUUUUUUUUUUAGAAUACAGUCUGAAAAACCAGGGAGGGGAGGGGAGCACCUGAUGGAAGACGCCAGCGUGCUCCCUUACAUGGUCUAGACGGGCCCCUGCAGGGGCUACAGAUGAGGAGGCAGAGAAACAGGCGGCCUUAACAGGGGAGAGCCAGCCUUGGAGAGGAUGUAUUGUGAAUUGGGGGUGGGGGUGCCAACGUGCCAGGUCUCAUUUCUCACUUCCAAGGCCACCCUUCCCUGGCCCAGUCUUAGUCGCCCUUUCUAAUAGAUUCUAAGAGUUUGACUCCUCCUUCCGGAAACUUGGGGUUUGUGAGUUCUAAUCUUCAGUCUCUCAGUUGCUAUGAGACCCUGUGCAAGUCCCAAAACUUCCCUGGACCUCAAUGUCCAGAGAAGCCAUGUUUUGGAUGAAAAACUAGAAAGUGGGAGAGGCAGGGCGCAAUCCUCUUUGAGUCUCCUGCUCCUGGUGUGGGACAGAGAAAGCUCCCAGGGAGAGCUGCUCAGCUGCAGGCAGUGAGGGAAGGGAAGGAGGGAAGGGGAGGACCCAGGCAGCAUCCAGACCAGGGUGGGGAAGAGAACUUAUUCUUAAGCAACUUAUUCUUAAGCAGCUUCCUGUUCUCUUAGCCUUGAACUUGAAGCCAGGAAUAGGGACAGGGAUAGAAGAGCCAAGGCUUGGAGCCGCUGGCCUAUGCAGAUGCACUUGCUUGUCCAGCAACAGUUGGACAGGGCCUGGCCUGGGCAAUGUGCUCCGGGGUGCAUGGAAAAUGUGGUCAUUCUUUGUCCGGGGGAUUCUUCUUAUUCCCUCCCAUUUCUCUUUACAGAGAAUUUUACACUUCCUUGCAGACACUGAAUUAUUGUGUUAAAUUAUUAUAACUUAAUAGCUUGUGAAAUAUACAAACAACAAGAUUAUGCCGACAUGGCUGUUAGAAGACAAGACAAAUUAGCAGACUCAUGCUCAUUUCUGUCAUUGAACAAUUCGUCUCAUUCCUUCCUCAAGGCGCUGCCGUUUUCCUGCUCUCCGUCCGUGGGGGUGUUUGUUUACACAUCUCUCGCAAGAAAAGCGCUUCUCUCUGGCUUCCCUCUGCCUCCCCCCCUCCUUCCUGCCCUCUCCCCUGCCUUCCCUUCCUCCUUCCUUCUCUCCCUCCCUCCUUUUCUCCCCGUUCCUUUCUUCCCUUCUCUCUGUCCUUCCCCCUUCCUUCCUUUACUGAUGUAACAACCUUGGUGUGCCGUGGCUAAGCCACACUCCACCCCUGACCUGCGGGGGAUGAGUCAAACGGUCAGACUUGCCUGGGCUUGUUCCACGCUCCCCUGGCUAGACAGGCGUCUACACAUUCUCAGUUAGGGGCUGGACAGGGGCAGCUGCUAGACAGGUCCUAUUCUGGGCCUCUCUGAGAAAAAGUGUCCCUGAAAAGAAAGGGAGCUCCCACUUCCAUGGACCCUUAGCCAUGCCAAGGGGCAGUACCGGCUUUCUGCUGGUGCUGAUGAGCUGUGGUGUGAACUCACGAAGGUCAGCUGAUUCACGGGCCCUGGAUCUCUGCUCUCCUUCCGCUAAGUGGGACUCGGGCCAGCCUGCCAUGAAGGAGGUAGCUGCUGCAGCUUUCAGGAAGGAACACCAGGUGUCAACCCCACCGGGUGGCCAACCCCACCUGGCUAGGACCCAGUCCCUGGUGGCUGCUCUCCCGAGAGGCGGGCAGGGCUGGGGCUAGGGGCUGUCCAGGAGUGUUCUGGACUGUCCCUUCGCCACAAUUCCCACAGGCUGCUCAGGACCGAGGCUGAGACGGGCGACCAGGACGGGAUUGUAUGGCUGCAGGAGGCUACACAGUCCCAGGAGGCUGCUUCUAAGAGGCCCACGUGGCCUGCAUGGGGAUGCGCCUGGCUGUCCAGCAUGUGGUCAUUUGAAUUGUACAUGUUUCACUGGGAUGCCUACAGAAAAGUAGACAGAAGAUGUGGAAAAAGUUUUUGAAAUGUUGCAAACUUAGCUACUUUUAAAAUAAAAAAAAUAGCUUUAUAAUUAUAAAAGCAAUAUGUAAAUCUUAAAAUAAUUUGCUACAUUCUAGUAAGCAUCUUAUGAUCUCUAUGUGCCCUAUAACAUUAUGUUGUAUAGUUUAAAUAUAUACAAUAAAAUCUAUUUUAAAAAAUAGCAGGCAAUUAAAUCUCAUUUUAAAAAGAGUCAGUUUAACUCCCUUCUAAUUUCUACCCCUCGUUUUCCCUCUGUGUGUGUGUAUGUGUGUAUGUCAUCUUCGUUAAAUGGCUCAAUGCAUUCCGAAUAUUUUUUCCGUUGUCUUCAUGAUAUAUUCAUGGGAAGGGGAGUAUGUGGCUUAUUGCUGUUAGUUUAUCAAUAGAGAAUGCUGGCCAAAUGUCUUUAAGAGUAAUGACGAUCUCAAUAGCGGUAAUGACAGCUACCACUUUCGGAGCUCCUCCUGCCUACCAGGCACCACUGGGGUCCCUCUCUGCAGCCCCUCACGCCAUCCUCCUAGUCACUUUCUGAGGUGUGUGUGGUCAUCCUCCCAUUUGCAGGAGGGCUCUGAAGCACAGGAAGGUUCGAUACUUACCCCAUGGCCGGGAUAAGAUGGGCCAGGGCCAGGCUGUGAACUAAGGCAGAGAAGGGGCUCUCCAGCACCUUUCCUGAGCCCUUGCCUCCUCUGCCUCUGCCCCAUGGCCAUCUGGUGGGUGGACACAGCUAAGCCAUGGCUAGAACCCAGCAUUCUCAUGACUGCUUUAACCAUAGAAAAUCACAAGUUGCAAGCAACGGGACACACAUUUACUUGUCUACAUUAGCACUUGUGAUGAAGAUAAUUCAUGCUAUUUUUUUCCCCAUUCGGAACGUACCUGUCCUUAGAAUAGUUAGAGAAGUUUUAUGAGGAUUGUGUAACUAGCAUUAACUUAGGUCACCUAAUUCUUGAUCAACCAAAUCGCAGGUCAAACAAAGGAGGCCUAUGCCUUCAUAGAAAGCAUCAGUUAAUGUCCAUUUAAAAACUGAUGCUGGCCGGGCCCGGUGGCUCAUGCCUGUAAUCCCAGCACUUUGGGAGGCCGAGGCGGGUGGAUCACGAGCUCAGGAGAUCGAGACCAUCCUGGCUAACACGGUGAAAACCCAUCUCUAUUAAAAAUACAAAAAUUAGCUGGGCGUGGUGGCACAUGCCUGUAAUCCCAGCUACUUGGGAGGCUGAAGCAGGGAGAAUUGCUUGAACUCUGGAGGUGAAGGUUACAGUGAACCAAGAUCGUGUCAUUUCACUACAGCCUGGGUGACAGAGCGAAAGUCUGUCUCAAAAAAAAAAAACAAACAAACUGAUGUUGCAUCUUCCAGUCUAAAAUAAAAAUACAUUGUUAACCAUUUUUAUGUUUACAAAACCUACAGUUUUAUAGUUCUAAAAGUAGUACAUGUUCAUUACUUUUUAUUUAUUUAUUUAUUUUUUGAGACAGAGUCUCACUCUGUGGCUGGAGUGCAGUGGCGCGAUCAAGGCUCACUGCAAGCUCCGCCUCCCGGGUUUACGCCAUUCUCCUGCCUCAGUCUCCCGAGUAGCUGAGAUUACAGGCAUGAGCCACCGCGCCCAGUCCAUGUUCAUUACUUUUUAAAGAUCAGUCAAUUAAAGCUAAUUUUUAAGAAAGAAUUAAGCUUAUAUAUUCUUCCAAUGUCUAACAUCUAUUUUCUUAUAAGUGUGUCUUAUUUCAUGGAAAUAAUGCCUCAUUUAUUAUUUUAGUAAGUUUUGGCAACCUAGUUAACUCAGUUCACUUGUCCAGUAUGUCAAAUCUUCAUUUUACUCUGGGACCAACUGUGAAGACAUCUGGAACCAAGGGGUGUGGUAGGGGUUAUAUGGCUCUGUUGUUUGUAGUUAGCUUUGCAUUUUUGCUUCUUGAUCAUUAGAUCAGAAACUAGACCUCAUCUCAUGAGUGCUUAUGUAUUGAUUGAUUAUUUGGGUCAGUCAGGGUUGCUGACAUUUGAAAUGCAUGCAGGGUAGGAAUAAAAUGGUUGUGAUGCAUUUGGUUAGCAAAUAGCCCACUUUCCCAGGACUGAUGAGAGGGACAUUUGGAGGCUCAUGACAGGCAGCAUGAUAGAGGGGAGUCAGCCUGGUCUCACCGGCAGGUCUUCAAAGCUCAGACUUUCGUGUCUGUGGAAGGCUGGGUUACACGAUUUAACAAAAACAAACCUGAAGAGUCCUCUUGUCAUUGGUAAGCUCCCAUCCCCAGAAAUCAUCCAGUAUAUUUCUCUCUCCACACCUGGGAGACACUUUCGAUUCAUCUAGAAGUUUCUUGAAUUGUUCUUUGGCUAGCAGCAAUUUACUUUUCUUUUCCUUGUAUUCUUCUUUUAUUCUUGUCUUGACAAACUGUUCAAAUAUCUUAAAACACAGACACAGAAGAAAAACAUCUGACAUUUUGGUAUCUUUCAUCUGACCAUCCAUAUCCAAUGUUCUCAUUUAAACAUUACCCAGCAUCAUUGUUUAUAAUCAGAAACUCUGGUCCUCCUGUCUGGUGGCACUUAGAGUCUUUUGUGCCAUAAUGCAGCAGUAUGGAGGGAGGAUUUUAUGGGGAAAUGGGGAUAGUCUUCAUGACCACAAAUAAAUAAAUAAAGGAAAACUAAGCUGCAUUGUGGGUUUUGAAAAGGUUAUUAUACUUCUUAACAAUUCUUUUUUUCAGGGACUUUUCUAGCAGUAUGACUGUUACUUGACCUUCUUUUAAAAGCAUUCCCAAAAUGCUCUAUUUUAGAUAGAUUAACAUUAACCAACAUAAUUUUUUUUAGAUCGAGUCAGCAUAAAUUUCUAAGUCAGCCUCUAGUCGUGUUUCAUCUCUUUCACCUGCAUUUUAUUUGCUGUUUGUCUGAAGAAAGGAAAGAGGAAAGCAAAUACGAAUUGUACUAUUUGUACCAAAUCUUUGGGAUUCAUUGGCAAAUAAUUUCAGUGUGGUGUAUUAUUAAAUAAAAAAAAAACUUUGUUUCCUAGGUUGAAGGUCUAAUUGAUACGUUUGACUUAUGAUGACCGUUUAUGCACUUUCAAAUGAAUUUGCUUUCAAAAUAAAUGAAGAGCAGCUGUCCUUCUUUCCUCUUUUAAGUGUUCAGCUGUGGCAUGCUCAGAGGUUCCUGCUGGAUUCCAGCUGGAGCAGUGUGAUACCCUUCUUUUUCAGCUGUUCGUGCCUUCCUUUCUUGUAUCCACCAAAGUGGAGACAAAAACAUGAUCUCAAAGAUACACAGUACCUACUUAAUUCCAGCUGAUGGGAGACCAAAGAAUUUGCAAGUGGAUGGUUUGGUAUCACUGUAAAUAAAAAGAGGGCCUGGGAAUUCUUGCGAUUCCAAAAAAAAAAAAAAAAGAAAAACAUCAUGAAAUUGCAUAUUAGAAAUGAAAUCUUGUAUUCCAAGCACAACAUGAGAAAGCAGCAAGAAUCUAUGGCAAAAGCUGUUCUUGUUCACAGCUGCUGGAGUUAUGAGCAAUAGCCUUUCAGCAUAGCUCUCAAGGAUCCAAGCGGUCUGAAUAAUUAAACCUGGGUCCCCACACGGCCCGGCGUUUCUCUACAUGCAGGUGCCAUUUCUGGGUCAAAUGUGAAACAGCCCUGCUGGAGAAACCCGGAGAAUGACUUGGCUGCCCUCUCUGCAGGCGUCUGGAACCAAGUGGUGGUUUGGAACCUGUGCUGUAGGCUGCAGUGGUCCUCACUGUGGCCUCUGAGCAGCAUCCGUCAUGCGCGGCCUCCUCACUUUCUCAUCACGGCCAGUGGCACCAGAACAUAGUAGAGCACUUAGUUCAUGCUAGUCACUUCCUAGGGUGACGUAAUUGACAUUCUCCCAAAAUGAGUCUCCCAAAAAUGACCUUAACUUGUGAAAAGAAAGUAAAUUCUGCAUCUCUGAUCCCCACUUGUGAACCUGGGUGUCUGGCACCUUGGGGAGGACUCAGGGCGCAUAAGCGGCCUCUUCUGAGGAGGUCACGGGAUGCCAGGCUGCCUGGGUCAUCAGUGUGGAAACAACUGGCCAGGAGGCCUGACCCUCAGGUACUGGGCACGCCCCUGUCUGACCAGAAAUGCAUCUCAAAUGCUGCCCCAAACAGGAAAACCCUGUUCUUCAGUGGGAAGAACACGCACAUCAGCCGGCAGGCAAUUCUGGGCAAGUCUCCAGGGCACUUCUCCUGGAACCUGGCAGCCCACAUAACGAGAUGCAAUCUCUUUGUGACAGGCCACAGAACCUCUUCUCUGUCAGAGUAAGAUGGAUCACUGUUCUAACAACUGAAAAACGGUCAUUUAUGGACUACAGAGUCAAAGAGGGACAAAGUUCUUUCAUUCCUCAUGCUACCCCAAACUCAAGAAUGUUAAAAAUAAACUGAAGAUAAGUGCUUAUGCAAACAUAAAUAAAAAUAUCAAGAGAAAGUCCACAUAGGAUCCUAUAAGGCCAAUAAAUAGCAACUGUGCACCAAUCCAACCAACUGCCAGGCCGAUCCUAGAAUGUGACCGAGGACCAAGCAGGCAGCUUCUUCUACACUCAUGCCAAAUUCCAUGUCAGUAGUGGCAAACCUUUACAGGAUUAUGAAUACAAAAUGCCACUGGUCUCCUGAAGAUACAGCAGCAAAAUGAAACAUCCACAAAUAUGACUUAAAUUGAGAAUAUGUGCAUGUCUAUAACUCCACCCUUCACUGUGCUGCGGUUGUUCUCUGGACCACUCCUAUUUCAUCAGUGUUAUUGUCAACCUGAAGAACAAGCAGAAAGAGGCUCUCUGAAAUGAAAUGGAUGCUUAUUUGGGAAGAGAGCAUUGCAACGGGAAUACACAUGCCAUCGUAAAUGACAAGAAUAUUCAGGGAGGGCUGUCUCUCCCGAUCUGAAACCCCAAUUAUACCUGUGAAGGCAUGGCAUUCUGGAACACCCCAUUUCAAAAGGAGAAAUUAUAUUUGUAAAAAUUUUCAGAACCCCUACAGACCAUAACAAAGAGUAAUGUCUUGAAAACAGGCUGAGUUUAGUUGAUUUGUAAUCAAAGUUUAACCUCUUUUAGGUAGGUCAUUUUUAAAAUAAAUUAUUUUGUUUGCAAUAGUUUUACAUGUACUAAAAAUUUGCAAGAAUAUUACAGAAAGUUAUCAUAUACUCAUACCCAAUUUCUCACGUUGUUAACAUAUUAGUAGGCUAGAUUCGUCACCACUAACACUGAUACAUUAUUACUAACAAUAGUCUGCAUUUAUUCAGAUUUCUUUAGGUUUUACCCAAUUUUCUGUUUUUGCCCAGGACCCCAUCACAUUUGGCUGCCAUAUCUCCUUGGACUCCUCUUGGCUGUGACAGGGUCUCAGACGGCCCUUGCCGUUGAUGACCUUGAUGGUUUGAAGAGCCCUAAUCAGGUGCAUUGCAGGACGCUCCUCAGUUGGGAUUUGUCUGAGGCUUUCCUCGUAAAUAGCCUGGGGUUAUGGGUUUUGGGAGGAAGACCACACAGAUAAAUGCCAUUCUCAUCAUGUCAUAACAAGGGUACACACGCUGCUGACAUGACUCUUCACUGACAGUGGUGGCUGUAGUCGGCUGGCUGAGGUCUCCCCACUGUGAAGUCCCCCUCUCCAUGCUGUACUCUCUGGAAGGACGUCGCCAUGCACAGCCGACACUUAGGGGUAUGGGUUGUGCUCCACUUCCGAGGAGGAGAAGUAGCUACAUGAGUGACUGGGAAAUGUCCUGGGGGGGAUACUCAUCCAUGCCUCCACAUUACUUAUGUACUCAAUCUUUUAUUUAUAUUGCUAUGGACUCAUGGAUACUCAGCCCAUGCUCGGGCUGGACUCCAGUGUGACUUUGCUUCUUUUCCUGCUCAGCUUCUUCGAGGUUGGCCUUGGUGAGCUCCCGUGGUGGGUUCCCAGCUCCUGUGUGCCUCUGACAGGUGCUCAUCACUUGGCUUUUUGGGCAUCUCCUUAAUUUCUGCUACUAAAGAUGCUCCUGGCUUAUCUUCUGCAUGUCCUGCCUUUGCCCUUGAAUCAGUCAAUUCUCCAAGAAGCUCUGGCUCCUUUCCUAGAACAGUGUUAGAAACCAAGAUCUGGGCACUGGUGUGUUCAUUGCUAGUGAGGUGUUGUUGCUUCUAGACUCUCUCAGCUGAUAGAGCAAGGGAAUGUUUAAGCCAUUUAGAACAUAAAUGCAUUCAUUUAAAAACAUGGACUAUGUAUUCACUGUGCCUUGGGCCCCAAGCUGGGUGUUGAGGAUCUUGAGAAAAUAAAUCAAGGAAGCCCAUGGUCUAGGGUAGUGCUGGUGAGGAGAUAACAGACUCUUGAGAUGGCACUAGGGCCAUGGCGGAGACAGACCUGGACACUAGUGGGACCCAGCAAAGACCCACAGCAGCCUGGGGAGGCGGCUUCCAGAGUGCUGCGACUUUGGAACAUGAAUACUCCUGAGGGUUCACAAACGAGCCUGGGGGGUAUUCCAGGACCAGCUGGUAGGGGGGCAAAGGUUGGGUCAUGAACUAUGGGGAAUGCAAGAAUUGCAAGAGGUUGAACAUGCCUGGGGGUGCAGAGACAGAGGCUGAGGUGCAGGGCAGUCUGAGACAUGGUUAGGAGCCUGGGCAUUCUCUUGAGAGACAGGGGAGAAGAAAAUUCAGAUGGAGCGUUCAUUUCAGGAAGGCCACCCUGGGAUCUGGGCAGGAGAUGAAUACCUGGCAGGGUCAGGGAAGGGAAGGUAAUUGAAAGUUUACAAAAACAAAACCCCAUUCACAUUCUUAAAGUAUUCUUCAUAGAGGUACUAUUUCAAUAAACACAUGCUUUAUUUGUAUAUUAUAACAGAUGAAUUUUCUUCACUGGCAAUUUCUAUCUUUAACUGUCAAAUUUAAGCCUUUUCUGUAAUACCCAUGAGCUCUUUUAUUGGGUGGGAUGACCCAGGGUCCAGCCAGGGAUUCUCCUCCACAGAGUGAGAACACGGUGAAGCAUAGCUGGGACUCAGGGCGAGGUGGCGAUUCAGGGGGGUUUCCAGGCAGAAUGGAUCCGUUUAGCUUCGACUGAGUGCACCUGCCCCCAGGAGCGGGUCUCCAGGCAGAAUGGAUCCCUUUAGCUUUGACUAGUGCACCUGCCCCCGGGAGCAUCUGGGGCUGUUAGAGAAGCUGUGGGCAGCCUCCACUCAGCCCAAUCAGAUGGCACACACCCACCUCAUGGGGACCUGUGCACAGCUGGAUGGUCCCAGCUCUGCAGGGAGAGAGGAUUAGACCCUGUGUGGCAUAACGACACCAGUUUCUGGAAAAUGUUGGAGUUCUAGAAGUAUAAUAAAAUAAUUUUUCAAUUAAUGAUGUGUAGUUUUUGCCCCCGAAGGGAUUUAUAAUCUCUAUAGAAGGUCAGAUAAGCCAUCUCUACAAUGAUUACAACUCAUAAUGAUAAAACCAACUGUGUCAUGUCAGGGACAGUUCAGGGAAGGGUGAGAGCACAGUGGCUGGGACCCAGGAUGGAGGUGGGGGCUGAAGUGAAGGCUGCACAGCCAUGUGUGAAACAGGGUCUUUCCCUGACCUCCAGGUGGGCGCAGGACUUCUCCCAAAGGGUCCUGACAGCUAUGGGGACGAGGAGUCCUAUGAACUGCUCCUGAGGGAAGCCCGUCGUUCCCGAGCCUGUGUGAAACACUUAUGAUGCCCAGAGAGUACAUUCCAUGGGGCCACGAUUGCACACGUGUGUGUGACUAUACACACACACAUAAGCACACACACCACACAUACAAACAUUCACAGAGGCGCAUGUACACAUGCAAACACAUGAACACACCCAGGACACGCUAAGAUAUGCAUACACAGGCACACAUGUACAUAGUUGCACAAAUGCAUACAUAUGUACAAAGAUGCACACAUUGAUACACACAUGCACAUGUGUGCCUACACACACACACACACACACACACACACACAGUACCACUACCACCACCAAGGAAGUCCAACAUUGUAGAACAACCAGGGGAAGAAAGCCCGUCAACUGAGUAGACAGCAAGCUGCGUAUCUCUUUUAAGUCCGUCUAUGUCGUGGGACUGUUCUGUAAGUGGCCGUGGACAAACCCAGCUCUCCCUGUUUCUGGCUGGUACCUCUCCAGAAUGACUGGAAUGCACUGGGAAUGCAACAGACUGAGAACAAUCAGGCUUUGUUUGGGCCCCGCCCCAGAAACAAGACAUCCUUCAAGCUUUAGCCCAGCAUUCACAGGACCCCAGGGUAUAAAACCCACUGCGGGCUGCUUUCUGGGAUCCCUUGGUUACAGCAAAGGGUAGAUGCGACUCCGUCCCCUCCUUGCAGCUUUCCUGGGCCUGGGGGACUGGCUUACAAGCACCUUCAUCUUCUACCACCCUUGCUUCCUGUCUGCGGGGAAUAAACGCACUUCAGAUGAUUUGCUGCUCAUCUUCUACCACCCUUGCUUCCUGUCUGCAGGGAAUAAACCCACAUUCCCUGCCCUCCAGCACUGAAUAGUAUCCGUGGAGGACUAGUGGAGAAUAAAGAAUUUUGCUGUUGCCCAGAGAUGACCAGGCCACCCCCACGUCCUGUAUUGUCUGUGGAGGUCACAUGCGGCCAGUAAGGAGGAAUGUCUACCUCUCCCAGGCAUCGGGGUAUCAAUGGGCACCCCAAUGGGGAGCCAGGAUUGCUAUCCUCACCUAUGCUGUAAUAAAGGCCCCCCUGUGUGUAUUGAUGGAGCUCAAGUGGAAAGAUGGAUUAUACCCUCACCGAAC
rnacentral:lncRNA from 1 species